rnacentral:tRNA from 1 species
AUUGUCGAGGCCGAGUGGUUAAGGCGAUAGUCUAGAAAUCUUUUGUGAUCUUCCCGCGCAGGUUCGAAUCCUUCCAACAAAG